UUUAACCUCUUCUCCACCCGACGGACCCGCGGGAGGUUAUCUCUCCAUCCUGCUCGCAUCACUAGGGUGCGAGCAGGAUGCGGGAGACCUGCCCACUCUUCCGGGGGUGCGGGGGGCUACCCCAAAAAGCUUCCGGGAGAGUAGGAACAGCUUUCCAAGACCUCACCCUUGACGUAAGGAGCUGUUACCCAAGCUAAGAGAUCCAGAGAAACCACCACAAUAUCUUUAUGCUCCUCAUUAAAAGUCUCUCUACAAUCUCUAUACGAACAGUGUAGCUGGCAUGAAGACACUGGAAUGCUGUCUGUACUACAUGAUGGCUAUUACAAUCUGAAGAUAGUCCUUCCUGAAGAGGUGGGUGUACCGCAGAUGAUGUUCUCCAGUCAUCUUACCCAGGUCAUGGCAGCCCUGAAAACCCUCUCCUGCACCUGUAUCUGCUUCUCCAACCAGGAGUAACAGUAGGAUGAUCAUGCACAGAUGGUCAAUUAUUAACAAAUGUGUACUGUGGGGGGGCGUGGCCUAGCUGCACACCAGGGAAGACGUGCCGUCCCGGAGCUCCUGGUCGCCGUUUAUAAAUUUGGGCUUCCCUGUCUACUAAUCGGCGCUAUACAGACUCCACCACCACCCCUGCUGCAGUGUGGACCCCCCUGGUGCCUGCUGCGGAGCCGGCAAGCCUUUUACUGGUCCGUGCGGGUUGCGGCCUGUGCCGGGGGGAAAGCCGGGACCUCAAGCUGAGAGGGGGCCUGGACCGGAAGUGGCCCGCGAUCGGCUCGUAUCGGGUCCGGCGCUUCCCUCGCCGGACACCUGAACCUGCCGCCCCCCGCAUACCUUCCAGCCGCCCCUUGCAGUGAGCGGAGUGGAGCCGCAGAGUCGAGGAGCGAAAGGCCGGGACCUCGGGCUGAGAGGAGGCCCGGACCGGAAGUGACCCGCGAUCGGCUCGCGUCUUGUGUAUCACUCCCCUCGCCGGAUACCUGGGCCUGUCACCCCCUGCACAAUCUUCCUACUACCUUCUGCUGUGACCGGAGUGGGGCCACGGAGUCGGGGGAACAACGUGGCUGUUCCUGUGGAUUGCGGCCUGCUCCACGUACCGCAGCCGGGACCUCAAUUAGGCGACUGGGCCCUUGGACCUCCAAGCUCAUUGCGAAUAGGUAUGGCUACUCUCACCCCCAGUGUUGCUAGCCGCUCCAUCUGCUAAAGCUUUGUCCUACAUACCCCACUGGAUGUGUGCUACCCAGAGAGGGCUGGCAGCUGCUGCACAUUUAUUUCUAUAGUCCUGCCUAUCCUCAUAUCUCCUACCAGAUUUAUUCUGGAUGCUUGGCAGCCGGAGGAGGGUCACUACACUGAGCCCUAGGAAAACAGAUGUGACAUCUCAACAACCCUGUCGCCAUUUGCUGUGCCCUGAGGUUACGGACUCGCUGCUGUGGAUGCUUAUAUAUCGCGUUGCUGUGAUAUUCUGGAGCAUCACGCUGUGACAUCUCUGACACGUUGCUUCUUGCAAAUUUGCUCCGCAACACCCUGACAUGCCUGCCAUCUUCAUAGCGAUGUAACUUUUCAGUCUCUCCCCUACGCUGAUGUGACCCUCAUUAAACUGCUCUCUGCGCCCUUCACUAUUUCUGCUCUACAUAUCUAUCUCUAGCGACCUCAUAUGGAAAAGUUCCUGGUGUCCACCCCAAUGUGGCACAUCCCAUAGAAAUUCUUCUGAUUCCGAUUGCUCCACCACCCGGUCUCGAUCCCAAAGAAAAUGUGCUACCGCUACGGCUCCUAAGCAGCCUAAAAUGAAACCCACUGACAUUGCUGCGGUUCUUGGGCCUCUCCUAGAUGAAAAACUGGCGGGCAUUAAAGAAGCCAUUGAUUCCACCUUGACCCAGCUGACUCAACAUAAUAGCAGUUUAGAUGAAGCCGAGCAGAGGGUUUCAACGUUAGAGGAUGAUUUACAAGCCGCACAGUCCACUAUAAAGACCCAGACCACAGAAAUCAAGACCUCACUGAAAAGCUCGACGACUUAGAGAAUCGGAGCCGUCGAAACAACCUGAGGGUGGUGGGCAUCCCGGAGUCGGUGAGGGGCCAUGCGUUGCUAGACCUUCUAUCCACCUGGCUGCCUGAAAAGCUAGAUAUGGGCCUUCAGGGCUCACCAUUGGCCAUUGAAAGGGCUCAUAGGAUUGGCCCUGAACGCAGAGACUCUGCUGGACGUCCUAGGCCUGUUAUUAUGCGGAUUCUGAACUACGCGGAUAAAGCAAAGCUCUUGGACCACUACCGAAAGUCAGAGAAUCUUCUCUACAAGGGAGAAGGGUUGCUUAUUUUCCAGGACUUCUCCACUCAUGUCGCCAACAGACGCAGAGAGUUCGCUCCGAUAUGCAAACGGCUGUUUGAAGACAACGUCAAGUUCUCACUGUUAUACCCGGCUCGUCUUCGAGUCUUUGUCAAUGGAAAACCAUGCUUCUUUGAUGAUCCGUUGGAAGCAAAGACCCAUUUUGCUCACCCUGACACUUGACUGUUCACCCUUGCUUAAAGUUUGCCUGUCUUUACAAUUGCUAUGAUUAAUAGGUCACACAGUGUUCGGGAUAUGAUAUGGGCAUGCUAUCUACGCAUGCUGGAGGCUCCGCCUCUCAUUGUUUCAUGUUUGCUAGUUUGAUGUUUUUGUUUGUUCUGCCUGCUGGGAUGGUGUGUCUCGGUCCUCCAUAGGUUGGCCCCUCCUUGCUCACUGGGACGGGGGGGGGGGCACCGUUUUACCUAUACGAUUUUGAUAUUCUAUUCUCCAUCUGCGGGGGUGGGAUAGCAUGGCUGACCGUGCUGUUUCUCAACCCUCAACCCCGGUGAUAACUCCACUUUUUGAUUUUAAUAUAGUUUCUUGGAAUGUGGAGGGUCUUAAUAGUCCCAUUAAACGCAAGAAGGUAGUCGCCCAUCUCUCUCGCUUAUCCCCUCAAGUCAUGUUCCUACAAGAGACACACUGGAUGCAUAACUCCCCUAUGUCAUUGAGGGCCCCUUGGAUUGGGGAAUGCGUAUCUGCUCCUUACACCAAUAAAACCAGAGGUGUAGCCAUUCUCUUUCAUAGGAAUCUUCAAUUCUCAAUCCUUAAAAGGUAUAUUGAUCCCGAGGGCAGAUUUAUCCUCUUAGAUGUCUCUAUUGAUAAUAUGGUAUAUACCUUUUUGAAUUUAUAUGCACCUACGGGAUCUAACAAUCUCUUUUUUGCAGAUGUCCUUCAGAGAGUUUUGUCCUGGGGUGGCCAAAACUUAAUCCUAGGGGGAGAUUUCAACACGGUCGUUGAUCCAUCCAUGGAUAGGUCGGGGGUGAGUACAAAGAGACCCGGGCCCUCUUCCGCUCUCCUCUCUCUGUUCUCAACUUACUUUACUAGACCCUUGGCGUAUACAUCAUCCCCUUCAACGAGAUUACUCUUUUUACUCACACCCACACUCCACUCACUCUCGCAUCGAUUAUCUCUUUUUAUCUAAACACCUUUUUUUUUAAAGUCUCCCACACCUCAAUUAAGGAUAUCAUUAUCUCGGACCAUGCCCCCAUAACCUUGUCCCUACAUUUGGCCCUGCCCCAGAGUAUAUCCAAAUGUUGGAGAUUCCCAGCAUAUCUCAUGCACUCUGAGGAUUUCUUAUUACAUCUUAAACACACCUGGCGUAAUUAUAUUACUGAUAACCUGGAUCAGGAAUCUAACACUCCGCUUUUUUGGGGGGCCUCUAAGGCGGUCCUUCGAGGCCAUAUUAUUUCCUAUGUUAAUUCUAAGCGUAAGAAAUUCAACACAAAAUUGCAGGAACUUAGUGCAGCUCUUACACUUGCUUAUCGCACCUACAAACAAUGCGAUAGCCCUACUCAUAGAGAAACGUACCUCAUGGCAAAACAAAUUUAUGUUACCUGUCUUACUGAACAGGCCCAGAUCAGCUACGACUAUGGCAGGAAUAGGUUUUAUAGGUGGGGGAAUAAGUCCGAUAAGCUCUUGGCCAACUUGGUUAGGGGGCCCCCGGAACAAAACGUGGGUUGAUUCGUUGCACAGUUCUGGAGUUGUUCUUUCUGAUCCCACUGACAUAUGCUCGGCUUUUAUGCGUUUCUACAAAUCCUUAUAUACUGCAGACAUUGAUAACGCGACUGAUGGUCAAUUAUUCCUGGAUGAGGCGCAGUUGCCGAGACUUGUGUCGGAGGAGAGAGACUUGUUGGACGUUCCUAUAACUGAUGAUGAGGUUCGAGCCACUAUUAAAUCCCUCCCCAAUGGAAAAAGCCCUGGCCCUGAUGGCUUUAGUGCCGAAUUCUAUAAGAUGCUGGACGCUGAUGUCCUCCCUAUAUUAACACGAUUAUAUAAUCAUAUCCUUACAACGGGGGAGACUCCCCUUCGUUUUAAUGAAGCAAAGCUCAUUGUGCUUGCAAAACCUGGUAAAGAUCCUGCCCAGGUAGGGUCAUACCGCCCCAUCUCACUCCUCAAUCAGGACUUUAAAAUCUUGACUAAAAUCAUAGCUAAUAGGCUGCAAGCCUGCCUGCCCCGUCUUAUCUCGCCCGCGCAGAUGGGAUUUGUUAAGGGUAGACAAUCCACACGGGGAGUGCGGGCGGCCCUAACUGCGAUAUCUUACACCCGCUUCAGUCAGGCCAAAAAUAACAUCAUUAUAAAUUUAGACGCGGAGAAGGCAUUUGAUAAAAUUGCCUGGCCUCAUCUGUCUCGAGUACUCGCCCACCAGAGUUUUGGCGCAGCGUUCUGUAACUUGGUACAGACCUUAUAUACUAACCCAGUGGCGCAGGUCUUAGUCAACAAUGUGACAUCUCCCUCCUUCACAUUGGAAAGAGGCACUAGGCAGGGAUGCCCUUUAUCUCCCCUUCUUUUUGAUUUAGCACUGGAACCCCUUAUACGCCAUAUCCUGUCACACAAGAACUAUAGGGGCAUUGCUGUAGGCACACAGGAAUUAAAAGUGGUGGCAUUCGCUGACGACCUCCUCCUUUUUAUGUCAGACCCUCACCGUACAAUCCCACAGCUAAUUGCCAUGAUUGAUCGUUUUUCCUCUUUCGCAGGGUUUUCUAUUAAUUAUGGUAAGUCGGAGGCGCUGGCCAUGUAUGGACAGGCGAAACUGGGCUGGGAGAACACCUUUCCCUUUAAAUGGGCGAAUACCCAUAUUGUUUAUUUAGGUGUCGCACUCCCUGCUCAUCCUUGCCACCUAUAUAGGCUUAAUAUCACUCCGGUCCUGCGCAGGAUUAGAACCGAACUUGAUCUUUGGCAAUCCCUCCCUCUUAAUUUGCUGGGGAGAUGCAACCUGUUUAAAAUGGCCAGCUUUCCGAAGCUUCUUUAUGUUUUACAGAUGACCCCUUUAUUACUGUCUAAGUUGGAUUUAUCUUCUCUGAAUGCCUCUAUCUCCAGAUUCAUCUGGGCUGGCAAGCGACCACGGAUUAGCAUGAAAAAAUUAUCCCAGACGAUACCUAGAGGUGGAAUUAACCUACCUGAUAUUAAACAGUACAAUCUUGCGUGCCUCCUCCGCAUUGCUAUGGAUUGGCUUGGAGACAAUAAUUAUUACACGGAUUCUAGUCUAGAUUCUCAGCUUUGCGCUCCCUUGUCCCUCAGUUAUCUUCUCCAUGCCAGACCCUCCAGAUUGGCCUUACAUGUCACUACCAAUUUGUUGUUACUUCCCAUAAUACAGGCGUGGAAAAUGGCGAGGAAAUCUCUCAAACUUCAAUAUCUCUAUUCACUUUCACUGCCCUUUAUCGGUAACCUGGAGUUUCAGGAGGGAGAGGCUCUACAGCCCUUCACUGCCUGGCAUUCUCUCGGUAUCCGCAACCUGCGCAGCUUGCUUAACUCCUUUCGCAUCCCGCUGUCUUUCGCGGAGGCAAGGGAGAAAUAUGGUUUACCUCCUCACCACGAGUUUGCCUAUUUCCAGGCAAUGCACUAUCUUAAAACUGUAUUAUCUAAACUGACAGGUGUCGACUUUCUUAAUUCUCUAGACACACUUCUCCAAUCAGCCUACUACUCUAUAUCAACCAUUUAUACACGUAUUCGUAUUGAAAUUAUUCCAGACACGGACCUUCCAGAACUGUCUCAAUGGUCCUCCCACAUCUCAACGGUCACCCCUGACUCCCUCUUAAGUCACUUUCAACUGACCCUAAAGCUUAUUCCUGCAAGCUCCUACCAAGAAAUGGCCUAUAAAAUGCUCCAUAGGGCAUAUAUCUCACCUAAACGCCGAUUUUUAAUGGGCAUCUCAGAAGACACUAAAUGCACUAAAUGCUUAAUGGAUGGGGCUGAUCUCUUCCAUUGCUUCUGGGACUGCGCUUUGGUGUCACGGUUUUGGCAUGAGGUACAUCAUUAUGGAACUACGUCCUUAGGCAUAUCUUUUAGUUGCACUAUUUCUUGGGCAUUGUUUGGAUGUUUGACUGACCAGCCAGACAUCCCUAGGUCUAACAAAAAACUGCUUAUGAUAUUAUCAGCGGCUGGCAGGAAAGCAAUCUUACAGCAGUGGAUCCACAACAUACCUCCCAAUCUUUCGAUGGUGACCUCUAGACUUUUUUUUUUUAUUCACCAUGGACUGGCUGGAGGCCUCUAUCCAUAAGGAAAGGCUCACCCCUGCUUUGUUCCAGUGUUGGGACACCUACAUUUUGACACUUCCCCUACAUACUAAACAAGCCAUUGAAAAAUGCUUUCAAUCUACCUCAUGGUAUCUCCUUCACACUAUAGACCACCCUAACCCCUUGAACAUUUGACUACUUUACCCUCUUCCCUUUUCUCUGGAUCCCUCCUCCACUCCUUUCUAUAUUCUGUUGUCUGCCGGGUUGAUUGGGGAUAUGGACCCCCAAUUUGGGAGAUUGUUCUGUGGAUGGAUCGACGGCUCGUGACCCACGGCAGGCACUACAUGUUAUUUUAUUUUAUUAUGUUUUAGGUAUUAUGUUUAUACUUAGGGAUUUCUAAGGUAUUAUGCCUUUUCUGGUGGAGAACUAAUAUUUGAUCUAUCCUUUUUUGCCCUUAGUUUUCUCCGCUCCGGUGAUUAAAAUAUAUUAUAAAUUUCUUGAUUUCACUAGUUAUAUAUACGUUCCCUUUCUUGGAAUGUAUAAAGGUUUUAUGUGAGGAAAAGUUGGAAAAUAUGUUUUAAUCUCUACCUGAUAUGAUAUGAGACUGAAUAAUUUUUGUCUUCCUGUCUUUCGACAGGAUGACUCUAUGUACUGUAUAUCAUGUUAUACAAUGCUAACUGUAUAUUCUAUGUCUCGAAAUGUUACAUAUCUACUCUGUAUGGUGUGAGAUUCUAAUAAAAAUAGUUUGGAAAAAAACAAAAACAAAUGUGUACUGCAUCAGGACUUUGCUCAUUCAAAGGUGAACCCUGAACACUGUUUUUAUCAUUUUAUUUGCUGAAAUUAUCUAUAACCUGUGUGCAUUUUUAAAAUGAUGUAUACUUUAUAACUUUAUUUUUUUGUAACUGUGAGAUCUGAAGUUAUUCUUGUAAUUAAAUCCUUUUUUAUA